AAAGAAACGGCUUGUGGUAAAUGUUGCUUGUCAUCCAUGUAUCAUAUACGAAAUGAGUAGUGUUGAUUUUGCUGGCGUUAAACUUUUAAAUUGUGAUUUAAUUUUCAAAGAAUUAAGUGUUUAUUUUUUUAUAUUUAAUUUCUUGAUAGCAUUGUGUGAAUUCGUAUCCAGAGGGAAUUGUCGAAAUUAGACUGAAGAAGUGGCCAACGGUGGAGUACGAGCUCUCAACCCGACUCCAGGCGAUCAGCGAAAAACGAAAUUGGAUAAGGAAACUCAAAAUCUUACAGUGUAUCGAGUGCACUGUGGGUACAACUCGAGAGCCCAGCGGUGAUGGAGGUGCUAAGAACUGACUGGUACGGGGAGUACUCCUCCUGCUACUCUUCCAGACGGGGUGGACGCCAUGCCAGGCUCCACCCAGCAGUGCAAGCAGCAGAGAUAGGAGCAACGGGAUGCUUCGGUCUACCACAUGCAGAAUACCGACAAUUCAUUUUGGACUGAUCCAGGCGUGGAUAUCGGAACGAUUUGGAAAUACAGGACUAAGACCAUAGUCAACGACAACGCUUUGGGCAACAGACUCGCGUACAAGU